ensembl:piRNA 21ur-50 ncRNA
UAUUGUGUUUGCCGCGAGAGA